rnacentral:rRNA from 1 species
CAAUAGCGUAUAUUAAAGUUGUUGCAGUUAAAAAGCUCGUAGUUGGAUUUCUGGCAGGAGCGACCGGUCACACACUCUGUGUGUGAACUUGUGUUGUCUCUGGCCAUCCUUGGGGAGAUCCUGUUUGGCAUUAAGUUGUCGGGCAGGGGAUACCCAUCGUUUACUGUGAAAAAAUUAGAGUGUUUAAAGCAGGCUUAUGCCGUUGAAUAUAUUAGCAUGGAAUAAUAAGAUAGGACUUCGGAACUAUUUUGUUGGUUUGCGUUACGAAGUAAUGAUUAAUAGGGACGAGUUGGGGGUAGUUCGUAUUUCGUUGUCAGAGGUGAAAUUCUUGGAUUUCCGAAAGACGAACUACUGCGAAAGCAUUUACCAAGGAUGUUUUUCUAUUAAAUUCAAGAACGAAAGUUAAGGGG